GACCCGCGCCGAAUUGGCGGCGCGGAAGAGCUAGUGGAGCUGUGAGC
rnacentral:ncRNA from 12 species